rnacentral:sRNA from 1 species
GCCAGAUGUAGUGGCGAGCACCUGUAGUCCCAGCUGCUGAAGGAGGCUGAAGCAAGAGCAUCAUUUGAGCCCAGGAGUUCCCGGCCACCCUGGGCAACAUAGCAAGCUCCCAUCUCUU